rnacentral:rRNA from 1 species
UACGAAGGGGGCUAGCGUUGCUCGGAAUCACUGGGCGUAAAGCGCACGUAGGCGGAUUGUUAAGUCAGGGGUGAAUCCUGGAGCUCAACUCCAGAACUGCCUUUGAUACUGGCGAUCUUGAGUCCGGGAGAGGUGAGUGGAACUCCGAGUGUAGAGGUGAAAUUCGUAGAUAUUCGGAAGAACACCAGCGGCGAAGGCGGCGCUCUGGGCCGGAACUGACGCUGAGGAGCGAAAGCGUGGGUAGCAAACAGG